rnacentral:lncRNA from 1 species
GUCAGUGUCCCGAGAGAUCCCCAGAAGAACGAGAGGGCUGAACAGGGGACCCCACUGACGUCCGGUGGGCCGACUUUACGAUCCUUUAGGAUGAAGAAACUAAGACUCAGAGAAGACAAAUGACAUGCCCAAAGACACAUUGAUAAGAACGCAUCUGGUAGUGGUGUUCGAGUCCAGCGUUGCAGCAGAGAGAUGGAUUUGAAUCCAAAUAACUGAUGAUUUGUUCCAUGAAUGCCAGAGCUGGAAGGGAUGGGGUUGGCAGAAGAGACAAGACUGGACCAUGGACCUGGUGGUUCUGUGCAGAGGCCAAAGCUACUCUCCUUCCCACCUGGCCCUGUGCUGGGCCUAACCUGGAGCCCCCUCUAUCCUCUGCCUCAUUCUUCUCCGGGUCAAGGUCCAGCAUGAACUCCAUGUCCUCCAGGAAGCCCUGGUGGACUUGGGCAGACCUGGGGACACGUCCAGCCUCCUGGCAAGAUGGGGGUAACAGGAGUGUGUAUAAAGGGGAAGGCAAGAAUGUGCCCUUGGUGGAGCAGUGAAAAGAAGCCCUCAUGUGACAAGUGUUUUGCUCCUAACCCACCUCCUCUGGUGACAUCUUCUGGGUUAACUGCUCUUGCUGAUCUCUGCACAUAAACCAAGCUAACUGUGAGAGGCCUUUCAUUUCUAGUUUAAAGCAAGGAGACCACAGUUCCUUCUGAACACUCACCCCCAAGGAGAUAAGGAGGGCGUCCCAUGAGCAACACUGUGUGUUAAAGAUGUACACGAGCACUGGGACCUGACCAAGGACAAACACGUCUCCAGCCCCCUCAGACCCUUGCUGCUGCUCAGAUGUCCGCUGUCAUCGGUCACAUCCUAACCUCAACCCCCUCUCUCCUCCCACAUAAAAGGAGGCUGAAAUUCAUAGUAACUUCAGAUGGUUCUUUAGGACACUGGCCCACCACCUUCUCGGUUGCUGGCUCUCCAAAACAAAGCCCCCUCCCUUGACCCAAUUCCUUGUUUCUUGACGUACUGGCUGUUGUGCAGUGCAUGGUACCGGCUUGAACUCGGUUAUGUUGGCAUGGCCUCUGGCGGUGCUCAGUUUGUGUGGAUGAGUAUUUUACAGCUACUGUCCUAUUUCCAGUCCCCUUCCUCUGGACGGCUAUGGGAUGUGCUGUGGAUGCCCUCUCUUAGGCUGGAAUAAACCACCCUACCUUCUCCUCUGCCUUGUCUCCACCAAAUAAACUCCUUAAGGCAGGGAUAGAGUCUUGCACUCCACGAAGAAGUAUUGCUGCAUCCUCAGCUGUGUAAGAGUGACCGGGCUUCUUCUAUUCCACCUGUAAUGGAACUUUAGGCACGCAGAGAGAGAUGGCAAAUUUGUGCUGGCUGAAGGGGUCAGCAAAUGCAUAUAAGGCUUCUUGUGCUCCAGAGAGAGAAUGGAGUGCAGUCAGUGAGACCCUGAGGGGAGAAGGAACCAAAAGCCUGGGCAGAAGGGAUCGUGGAGGUGCCCAGGGUCAGGAGGGAUGGGAAGGGUGAGGAACACAAGAGAUCACCUGGAGGCAUUAGAGGAGAAGGCAGGCACUGGGGAUGGUGCCGCUGAUCCAGGUGGAGCAACAUCCUAGGACCCGAGUGCUGGGCAGGUGCAUCCGUGGAGGGAAGCUUCUCUCCUCUCUCGGCUCCUGCUGAGAGAGGCAAUCAUUCCCCUGGCUUGCCCUGCAAGAGACAGGAGCUCUAGGUAGAUCUCUGCUAUCUAGGGAAUAGAAUGUGAAUAUUUGAAAGUUCUAGAGGUCAAGUCUUAGGUUCCCUCUCAGCUCAGAUCCCAAAUGGUACACUCUACCCUAACCCCCUUUUCUUGUAGCUUUGCUACAUGGAGAGGAAAAUACCUUGCCAGACACCAACAGUCCCUUCUCAGCACUUUUGUGUGAAGACAACUCAGACCCUAAGAGAAUGGGGUCUAAUUUGCAGGUGCCACUGGAAGGCAGAGGUCACGGGAGCCCUGGACUUCAGACAAGGUAGAGGGAUCCUGGAGACAGCACAUCUGGCCCUGGAGCCCUGCCCACCCGGGGAGUGAGGGCAGCUCUCCUGCUCUCCUAGGAGGCCUGCCCGAGGACCCCCAUGUCCUCUAUGUGUGGGAUUCUGCAGUUUGCACUCACAACCCAGAGCCUUUUACCCAACUACCCUGUUUGUAGGAAUGUGUCCAAAAUAAGCAUCAGACAAGUACAUGAAGAUGAAUGUGCAAAGACGUUCAUAACAGGAUUGUUUAUAAUCAUGAAAAAUGAUCUGCAGAUUUCCUGUCUGCUGUGCAGGAUGAGUUAGACGGGGAUGCAUCCAUAAAAUCACUUUGCCCUCAUUUAAAAUUAUAUCAUAGAUCUAUGUUUAAUGACAUAGUAAACGGUACUCAAUGCAUUAAGUGAAAAAAGCAUAUACAUAUCAGGAUGUAUAUGAUCAAGUUUUUGUUAAAUGGAUGCAUGUAUGCAUGUCAGUAACUGUCUGUGUUUGCAAACAAAACGUCUAGCAAGACGUGCAUCAAAUAUUAACAAUCAUUAUCUUUGGAUUCUGGAUUUAUUGACUUCUAUUUUUGACUUUGCCCUUUGUUUUUCUAUGUUAUCUGACACUUUUACACUGAGUUUAUAUUAUUUUUACAAUUAAAAUAUCAAUCCAUCAAUCUACCUCCAUUUGGGAAGUAGUAAAAAGUA